CCUACGGGCGGCAGCAGUGGGGAAUAUUGCACAAUGGGGGAAACCCUGAUGCAGCGACGCCGCGUGAGUGAAGAAGUAUUUCGGUUUGUAACGCUCUAUCAGCAGGGAAGAACGUGACGGUAACUGAUUAAGAAGCCCCGGCUAACUACGUGCCAGCAGCCGCGGUAAUCCGUAGGGGGCAAGCGUUAUCGGGAUUUACUGGGUGUAGAGGGAGCGUUGACGGCAGCACAAGUCUGGAGUGAAAUGACGAGGCUUAACCCCGGAACUGCUUUGGCAACUGUGCAGCUAGAGUGCAGGAGAGGUAAGUGGAAUUCCUAGUGUAGCGGUGAAAUGCGUAGAUAUUAGGAGGAACACCAGUGGCGAAGGCGGCUGACUGGACUGUAACUGACGUUGAGGCUCGAAAGCGUGGGGAGCAAACAGGAUUAGAUACCCUUGUAGUC
rnacentral:rRNA from 1 species